AUUAAUAACAUAUAUUAAAUAAACAAAAAAUAUAUUUAUAUAUAUUUCUUGCCUACGUAGGUGCAGAGUAUCACUCUUUGCCUUUGCUGAGGAAAGGUUUCCUCUUUCAAAUUAGCUGCCCCUAAGCCAUCAUCCAGCUCACACACAAGUCUUGAAUCUCCUUAUGAGCAGCAGUAAUUAGAUGGACCAGAACAUGAGAAGGGGAGAGGAGCAAUAAAACAGUGAUUCCUGAAGACACUAUCCUUAACCCUUUGUGCAUUUUCAACUCUCCGAUAUGGAGACUUCGAUGAUUUUAAUCUGGAGGAUGCGCUGAAAGAAACUUCCUGAGUAAAGCGUGACUCAAACCAACAAGUCCACCAGGCAGACACUGUGGUCGGCCGUGCACCACAGUCACAAUCUUGCCUUCAGAAAAGUACACGCAUAUGAGACUAGCUGUACCUCCAGAUACCUGUUAGUUCUGUUGUGCAAGGCUUGUGUCGUCUCGUCAUACGUGUGUCAUCUUCCUUUUUCAUUCAGUCUAUGUCGAGUCCAUGAGAGAACAUGCAUCUGCCUUAGCCUUUUUUCUGCUGUACAAAAAGAGAACUCCGACCCAUUUCAUACCCCUCACUGUUUUGUUUUGAGACAGGGUCUCUUGAUUUAGCCCAAGUUGUCCUGAAAUUCUCUGUGCCAACAAGGCCGGCUUUGACUUGGGUCCAGUGCUAGAGCAACAGUGACUCUUGGCCACUGAUGUGCAUUUCUAGCUUCAGAACCCAUGACUUUUUAUGAUUCUUCAGUGUGAUCCCCACAAUGGCCUCGGGGACCGAUACCGAGACCAUUCUCACGAUGUGACUUCUGUAAACCAUAAAGCAGCCACUGUGUUUUACAAUCUGCUUCCUUUCAUCCUCCCUUCUCCCUUCAGAGAGCCACUUUAGCACCACGACUAGAAGGACAGGAACAACCAGAGCCUCAUCAAAUCCAGCAGGUAAUGAGGUGUGGGAAGUGAGGAAGGCCAGACUCACCUGAGAAGGGACACAAGGAGGGACUCGUUGGGACUCCAUCUGGGACAGGGUCAAAAGGAGCCGUGUAGAAUUUUUAGCUGCACAUAUGAAAAGUCAGCAAAGGCACCCAUGUGAAUGUUAGAAUUAAUUCAACAGAAUCCCAUCUGGUUGGUCACUGUGCCUUACGUGAAAGCCAUGCAUUUCCACUUCCCUAUUGCUUUGGGUGACGAUGGCUGCCAGAAUCCAGGUACAGGAGGCAGAAGGGGUGAGCUGGACUUGACUUAAGCCCCAGCCUAUCCCCAUAGCUCCCAGGUUAAACAUGAGCCAUCCAUAGUCGAGCAGAGUUGGGCAACCUGAGGCCUAAGGAGAAGUCUUCAAUGAAGAUAUUCAGACGUUUUCUUGAAAUUCUCUAAGUUUUUGAAGAUCUCGGGAGAGUUUGUGUAUGUGGGUCACAUCUAUAAAUACUUCUCAUCUGAGAAGUUAGAACUAAAAACUUAUAUUAAUCCGAGGAAAAUAAAAAGUCAUAUGCAUUGACAUAUGUGGUGGGUUUUUAUGAGAAAUAACUCUGCUUAUAAGGUGAAAACAUAAUUUAGAGUAAUGAAUGACAUUAUUUUAUAGUUUUCUGUAAUGUCUGGCUUCAAUAGAAUGCAUCUGGAUUCUUUGUGUGUGUGUGUGUAUGUUUGUGUGUCUGUGUGUGUAUGUGUGUGUGUGUGCAUGUCUGUGUGUAUAUGUGUGUGUGUUUGUGUGUAUGUGUGUGUGUAUGUGUGUGUCUGUGUGUGUGUGUGUGUGUUACUGUGAGACAGACCUAGGAAUCACUAUGUAGACCACACUUUACUAGACAGACCAGACUGGCCUCAAAUUCACAGAGAUCUAUCUACCUGCCUCUACCU